GCUUCGCCAAGGGCGUAGCUUGGCUGAGGGCUCCGGUGGGUGCGUGUUGGAUACGCUCGUCGUCUUGAGAGGACCCUCGAAGUCACAGACUGGUUCUGGAGGCCCGGGGUUCCUCGGGAAGUGCCCUUGCUGGCCUACUGAGGUCGCUUGGAAUUCCAGAGCUUCUUCUGUGUUUGCUGUCUCUCAAAAUAAACACCUCACCAAGCAAGAGAAGCCCACAGCUAAAUGAGCAUCAUGUGUUAGAAGAACAGAAAGAGGUGAGCCUGGAAAGCUAGAAGGAACUGGUAUCAGAGAACUGCCUUUCUCUCAGAAAGGUCCAAAGAGAAAAACUAUAAAAUACCGGCAUUAUGCACUGCACCAC